rnacentral:tRNA from 1 species
AGUUUUGAAGUAUAUAUUACGCUGAAUUGCAAAUUCAGAGAAGUGGUCUAAUGGCCGCCGAAGCUU